UCCGUAGGCGGUUUUGUAAGUCAGUGGUGAAAGCCCAUCGCUCAACGGUGGAACGGCCAUUGAUACUGCAAGACUUGAAUUAUUAGGAAGUAACUAGAAUAUGUAGUGUAGCGGUGAAAUGCUUAGAUAUUACAUGGAAUACCAAUUGCGAAGGCAGGUUACUACUAAUAUAUUGACGCUGAUGGACGAAAGCGUGGGGAGCGAACA
rnacentral:rRNA from 1 species